rnacentral:rRNA from 1 species
GGGGAAGGGUAGCUUGCUACCUGACCUAGCGGCGGACGGGUGAGUAAUGCUUAGGAAUCUGCCUAUUAGUGGGGGACAACAUUCCGAAAGGAAUGCUAAUACCGCAUACGCCCUACGGGGGAAAGCAGGGGAUCUUCGGACCUUGCGCUAAUAAAUGAGCCUAAAUCAGAUUAGCUAUUUGGUGGGGUAAAGGCCUACCAAGGCGACGAUCUGUAGCGGGUCUGAGAGGAUGAUCCGCCACACUGGGACUAAGACACGGCCCAUACUCCUACGGGAGGGAGCACUGGGGAAUAUUGGACAAUGGGCGAAAGCCUGAUCCAGCCGUGCCGCGUGUGUGAAGAAGGCCUUUUGGUUGUAAAGCACUUUAAGCGAGGAGGAGGCUACUUGGAUUAAUACUCUAGGAUAGUGGACGUUACUCGCAGAGUAAGCACCGGCUAACUCUGUGACAUCAGCCGCGGUAAUACAGAGGGUGCGAGCGUUAAUCGGAUUUACUGGGCGUAAAGCGUGCGUACGCCGCUUUUUAAGUCGGAUGUGAAAUCCCUGAGCUUAACUUACGAAUUGCGUUCGAUACUGGGAAGCUAGAGUAUGGGAGAGGAUGGUAGAGUUCCAUGUGUAGCGAUGAAAUGCGUAGAGAUCUGGAGGAAUACCGAUAGCGAACGCAGCCAUCUGGUCUAAUACUGACGCUGAGGUACGAAAGCAUGGAGAGCAAACAUGAUUAGAUACCCUGGCAGUCCAUGCCGUAAACGAUGUCUACUAGCCGUUGGGGCCUUUGAGGCUUUAGUGGCGCAGCCAAUCCGAUAAGUAGACCGCCCGCGGAGUACGGUCGCAAGACUAGAACUCAAAUGAAUUGACGCGGCA